rnacentral:rRNA from 1 species
ACGGCCAUACCACAUUGAAAACACCGGUUCUCGUCCGAUCACCGAAGUUAAGCAAUGUCGGGCCCGGUCAGUACUUGGGAGGGUGACCACCUGGGAACACUGGGUGCAGAAUAG